AAAGCCUGAUGCAGCUAUGCCGCGUGUAUGAAGAAGGCCUUAGGGUUGUAAAGUACUUUCAACAAGAAAGAAAAGAUAAAAUCUAAUAUAUUUUAUCAUUGACGUUACUUGUAAAAGAAGCACCGGCUAACUCCGUGCCAGCAGCCGCGGUAAUACGGAGGGUGCAAGCGUUAAUCGGAAUUACUGGGCGUAAAGAGCACGUAGGCUGUUAGUUAAGUCAGAUGUGAAAUCCCUAAGCUUAACUUAGGAACUGCAUUUGAAACUAAUUAACUUGAGUUUCGUAGAGGGGGGUAGAAUUCCAGGUGUAGCGGUGAAAUGCGUAGAUAUCUGGAGGAAUACCAGUGGCGAAGGCGACCCCCUGGACGAAUACUGACGCUCAGGUGCGAAAGCAUGGGGAGCAAACAGGAUUAGAUACCCUGGUAGUCCAUGCCGUAAACAAUGUCGACUUGAAGGUUGUAAGCUUGACUUAUAGCUUUCGUAGCUAACGCGUUAAGUCGACCGCCUGGGGAGUACGACCGCAAGGUUAAAACUCAAAUGAAUUGACGGGGGCCCGCACAAGCGGUGGAGCAUGUGGUUUAAUUCGAUGCAACGCGAAAAACCUUACCUGGUCUUGACAUCCAUGGAAUUUAAUAGAGAUAUUUUAGUGCCUUCGGGAACCAUGAGACAGGUGCUGCAUGGCUGUCGUCAGCUCGUGUUGUGAAAUGUUGGGUUAAGUCCCGCAACGAGCGCAACCCUUAUCCUUUGUUGCCAUCAGCUAGGCUGGGAACUCAAAGGAGACUGCCGGUGAUAAACCGGAGGAAGGUGAGGACGACGUCAAGUCAUCAUGGCCCUUACGACCAGGGCUACACACGUGCUACAAUGGUAUAUACAAAGGGAAGCAUCCUCGCAAGAGUAAGCGAAUCUCACAAAAUAUAUCUUAGUUCGGAUUGGAGUCUGCAACUCGACUCCAUGAAGUCGGAAUCGCUAGUAAUCGUAGAUCAGAAUGCUACGGUGAAUACGUUCCCGGGCCUUGUACACACCGCCCGUCACACCAUGGAAGUGGGUUGUAAAAGAAGUAAGUUGCUUAACCUUUUUUUAGGAGGGCGCUUACCAC
rnacentral:rRNA from 1 species